rnacentral:rRNA from 1 species
GAAUCUUCGGCAAUGGACGGAAGUCUGACCGAGCAACGCCGCGUGAGUGAGGAAGGCCUUCGGGUCGUAAAGCUCUGUUGCCAGGGAAGAAGAGCGGGGAGAGUCACUGCUCCCCGAUUGACGGUACCUGAGAAGAAAGCCCCGGCUAACUACGUGCCAGCAGCCGCGGUAAUACGUAGGGGGCGAGCGUUGUCCGGAAUUAUUGGGCGUAAAGCGCGCGCAGGCGGUUCCUUAAGUCUGGUGUAUAAGCCCAGGGCUCAACCUUGGGACGCACGGGAAACUGGGGGACUGGAGUGCAGGAGAGGGAAGCGGAAUUCCACGUGUAGCGGUGAAAUGCGUAGAGAUGUGGAGGAACACCAGUGGCGAAGGCGGCUUUCUGGCCUGUAACUGACGCUGAGGCGCGAAAGCGUGGGGAGCAAACAG